rnacentral:tRNA from 3 species
GUGGGUGUAGCUCAGCUGGUAGAGCACCGCGUUGUGGUCGCGGUUGUCGCGGGUUCGAGCCCCGUCACUCACCCCA